rnacentral:miRNA from 1 species
UUUGGAUUGAAGGGAGCUCCA